GGCAACUGAUUACCCAGUACUGAGCAGAACAGGCCUGUUUGGUACUUGGCCUGCUUCCCAGUAGAUGCCAAGAGGGGCCUGUGGUUUCUGGCUACCUCCAUCGACUGCAGAGGCUCCUGAGGAUGUGUCAUGUGGACAGAGAAGCUGUCAGACGUGGUGCAGGCGGGCACAGCCUCUUGCCAGCGGGCCAUGAGGACACUGGCUCAGGAAGACAUCGAUCACGGGAAGUGACUCAGCUGGGGGAGACUCAGAUGUGACUCAGAGAGACUGUCUGCGGACGUCUGGUGAGCUGGGCCAGCAGCUGUCAUUGGACGCUGCGUGUGUUGUCACAUGGAAGCCACUGGUGCAAGAAGGUGACCUGGGCCACUCCAGAGGCCGAGGGUGGAGACUUGCUGAGCGUCUGCGUGUGCAGGGCACAGCUCCCCUGCAGGUCCUGGGUGGGGGUGAUUAAAAACGGUCCUCCCCACCUGGCCUUGGAGGGUGGGGCUCUGUGGUCACCCUGGUAAGUGCCCUGAGUCCCAGCACUGAGUGGAGAGUGGGCAGGCAGGGUGGCAGGGCCAGCCUUCUGGGAGGCCCUCACCUGGUCAACUCGCCCUUCUGGUCCUAGGUGGAUGAAGGACAUGGACACUUAGGAGGGGUGUGCCGGGAGGCAGUGUCCCCAGAGGAGGCUGCAGGAGGGACAGACGGGGACAUGAGACAACAUGGCCUGCUGCCCCAGGACUGGAGGCCUUGGAAGAAUCUGGCAAGAGGAGGAGCCCCGGCUGGGCUGGCGGCCCCAUGGCUGGUGCCGUGAGGUGGUUCCGCCAUGGGGCCCAGUGAGAGGAGGACCUCACAGGCAGAUAGCAGGUGUCUGGAGGAGGCCCUGCUCCCACAACAGCCCCUGGAAGUGGGCGCACUGGAGAUUCCGGGGGACACGUUGUCAAGCUCCCCAGAGCUUGGGCAGGAGCUGACCUGGCCUGGGGGCCACUCUUCCCAGUGCUUCAGUGACUUCCCAGGGACGUGGGCAGUACUCAUGCAUGCUCUCGGGGCCAUUUCCCAGAGAAAGAAGCUGCAUCGGCAGCACCGACAUUCUAAUGAAAGGCCACUCUGUUCUGGGACACCUUCGACAACAUCUUCGUGGAGUAAGGCCACAAAGAGAUUCUACAGUGAUCAAGAGACCUGAGGCCCAGGCCUGGCAUGACCUUUGCCUUGCCAUGGACGAGCUGAGCACUGGGGACGGGGUCUCUGCAGCUGUGGCAUCUGUCACCCCACAACUGGCAGAGUCCCCUCGCAGCCAGUGGCCACAGGCUGUGAGUGCAUGGGACACUCAGGGAGCCUGGGGCCCUGCGCGCUGUGGUCUGGGCUCCUGAUGGUUCAGAGUUCCGGUUGAGCCAGGGGUUGACGUCAUCGCUGUGUCCUCGCUGUCUGUGGCUCUGCUGUAACCGGGAUGUGGCUGGAGUCCCGGGAGCAGGUGCUGGAAGAUGCUGACAACAAGCCAGUGCUCUCCCCAGGGACUCGGAGGAAGACGAGGAGAGGAGCACAGGUUCCAGCAGCUAGAGGUGUUCUGGGCCACUCACACUAGGAGCCCCAGGGUGCGGUGCCCCAUCUGCUCUUACCUUGCACUCCCUCCCCCGGAACAGCCACAGGACCUUGGAAGACUACAGCAAGACCUCGUUGUCACCUGGCUCCUCUCCCAUUUAGCAUGACCCAAUCUGCUUACCCUGAAUUACGGCCCCACAUCUCCCAAUCUCACCCACAGCCACACUUAUCUUCUUAAAAAUUAUUUAUUUAGCAAAAAUAUGUAGAGAGCCUGCUGGGUACUGGAGCCUAGGCGGGUCCCCUGAACGUGCAGAGCACAGUCUGUUUCACGGUCUCUGCUCCACAUUUAUGGCUCUGGAUUCUUGCCUAUCCCCUGACUUCCACACAGCUGGGGCUUCCUCCCGGCUGACCUUGGACUAAAUGCCUCUUCCUCGGAGAGAGCUUUCUUGACCAGUGACUUAACAUGAACACCAAGGUGUAUGUGGUGCCGGUCACUGCCCAUCCCAUGCUCCUGCCUCAGUCUGGAUCAUGUUCUAGAGUGUCCUGCUCCACAUACACUGCUUGAGGCCACAGUGGACAUCAGAUUACACAGUGUCCACAGUGGACACCAGAGCAGCCAGUACUUAUUCCUCUGGAGAAAGAUUUCUACUCAGCAGCUGUGUAGAGAGGGGGCAGGCCUUGGGCAGGGGUGAGCAAACAGCCUGUGGACACAGGGGAGUGGCCCUGCCUAGCCGCCUCCUUACACACUCACCAUCCCGGCUCACCAUUCACUAUAUCCUGAGAAUGAGAACUGGCUCAGGUGUGCCUCGAAGAUAUCCAAGAGUCAUUGUCACCAUUUGAUUAUGGACUGUCACAGUAGGACAGGAUCAAAGAGCAUAUUAGAAGAGGGAGUUUUCAAAUCACUUCCAGAUAAUCUAUUUUGGAAAUCGGACACGGACCUAUGCACCAUCCUGGUUCUCCACCAAGGCAGUGGGCUGGUGGCUGGAGUCCUGCCCCGAGCUCCCUCUGCUACCCUGAAGAGUCUGGAGUUGAGGGUACCCCCAGGACACAUGGGGGAGGACUCUCCCCCACUUCUCUGCUCCCCAGUGCGGCUGCUCCUCCGCUCUGUUAGAGGAAGUCAGAGCCUCCUUCUCCAUGUUCUUUCCAACUGGGCCACAGCUGCUCACAGGGGGGAGGCUGCAGGGUCUGGAUGUCUGCUUCCCAAGGUCACGGGAUGAUGGCAGCAGGAAGCUGAGGUCAGCCAAGGGGGGGUAAGCGUCUCUGCUGCUGACCUGUCCAGAGCACCAUUCCUGUUUGCCGCCUGACCUGGGGCUGUACUAGAAACCUGUGUAAGUGGAACUUCACUGAGAGCUACGGAAGAGAGGGAAGAGCCACUUCCCACACCACGGCGAAUCCCACAGGAACCCCUUGGAGUGCUGCUGUGUGCCUCAAAAGGAAUACAGAGAGCUGAGCCGUGGAUCAGGGUGGGGGUGUACGACUGAGGGACCUGCUUCCUCUCGCGCCAUCUGCCUGAAUACUGAAGCCUCAUGUGGGGGUGGACACUGCUCAGCUCGCUUCAGUCCGACCAACAGCUGGGCAUGAACUGAGUCACCGGGCCCAGUCCACGUGCAAGGCAAGCGGAACCAGAGGGGCACAGACACCAGGUCCUGGAGACGGUGACCUGUCACUAUGUGAGUGGCUGGGAUCACAAAGGACAGUGUGUCUUUGUUCCUGGCCCUGAGUAGCUUAGUGACAACUUAGUACAAGAAGCAGGUAGGUUGGCACAUUUAUUUUGAUAAGUGCUCAAACAUUUAGAAAGUGUGACUGUGGCCCAGGUGGCCCAGGGAAGGAGCGAACCAGCUCUGCUGUCAGAGGGUGGGGAGACGGAGAACUUUCUGGAAGAGGGGAAUAGCAACCACUGUGGGAAAUGAGGAGCCGACCCAGCCCUGCAAGGGUGGGUGCAGCUGGCAGCCCCAGGGGCCACAGGCUCCUUCUCCUCAUCCGAACGCCCCCGAGAACGUCAGGGUUGGCGUGCCGAGUGCUGCGGCUCUGGCAGCAAUGCUACUGUUGAAGUAAAGAGGAGCGUGUGUCCGCGCCCGCCGAGCUCAGUCAGCCGCACUGCGCGCUUGCCGAGAUGGCCUUGUAAACAUCAAGUUAUGAGGAAGUGCAGGGAAUUAUGUUAAUCAUAUUCCUGAGAGCACUCGAGCAAGGGCUGUUUAUCGAAAAUAUUGACAGGAUGAAAAAAACUGUUGGAGUGAUCCUUCCUCGGGGCUUUCUGGGACGCCACGGAUGUGAGGGCUGUUUUGACGCUAGGAUGGGUUGACAGAUCAAGGAUGCUCGCGUGACGUGAGGGGCCUGUGGGGCUCUGAGCAGCAGACUUUGGGAGGAAAACACCCUCAGGAGGUCACUCUGGUCCUGGGGGGAGGUGACUGUGGCCAGCUGAUAAGGAAGAGGUCAUUCGGAUGCCCUCCUGCAGGAUCUUCAGGGAGGUGGCUCAGGGGCUCAGCUUCACACACCGGGGAAGGCGUGUCCAGGCUCCGCGUGGGCCCCUGGAUUUCCAGAGCCGUCUGUUCCUCCCCAGUGAACUGCAGGAGUUCACCACCUGCCUUCCCCAGGGCAUGCCCCUGCGCCUGCAGGCUGUGUAGCUGCACCUCUGAUGACCAGGGUCAGAGAGACGCUGGCUGAGUCGUGGCCGCAGGCUCAGUUCUCGGAGAGCCUUGGGAAUCUGCAGCCCAGCUGGUCUCUGGACGAAGCCUCUACUGUGAUGUCAUAUGUGUGCAGCUUGGAGGACGGGCUCCCAGCCGAGAUCCCGGCUUUGACUCCCAAACCAGCCACUUCCUGGAGUCUGACCCUGGGUGAGUGCAGGACCUGCUUCGCACCGUGAGAAGUCGGCGCCACCCUGGGAUCGUGGGUUAGUGUUGGCUCAGAGGUUCUCGGUGUCGGUGGCAUCCCUGCUCUGGGUGUGCUGACCAGUGUGGAAAUUAGCCUCUCUCACUGUGGAGAGUCUUAGGGAAGCUGUGAAGGGAGUCCCAGAGGCAGCAAAUGUGGGCAGCGACAGGACCCUCCUGGACAGGGCUCUAGCUGCUCCAUCUGUCUGCAUGCCCAUUUCCCCCCAGUGUGUGCCUGUGGCAGGAGAAGCCUGCCCACUGGUACUGACCUUUCCCUGCCCUAGUGCGGCCACUCAGAGAAUCUGACGUGAAUCAGCCAGGUGAGCCCAUCCAGGUGCAGUUAGCCGGGCCCUGGGGCCCUGGUCUAGGAGACCCAUUUCUCUGAAGAGGAGCUGCUCUCAGAAGUGGGGCACCCUGAGGAGCUGGCCCACCCACACAGGGUCUGCCGCAUGUCGGGAUGUGACUCAUGACCCUGAAGUGCGUGCCACCUGGGGGGUGGGGAGCAGGUGAGGGAGCUUCAUUAGGUCAGGUUCCGCUGGGACAUUUCCAUGGGGGAAUCUGUGACUUCUUUAAAAAUCCUGUAAAGUUAGCUUCUUUAUUAUAAAAGAAUGUGUUUUAAAACCUGAAAGUUUCAAGAAACAUGCAGAGAAGACAUUUGCAGCAGUAGUUGGUUGUGCAAGGCUGUUGGACAUAUUUAUUUCUCUGCUUUACGAAUUUUCUGUGAACUUGUGAGGCAACGGUAGCUGAGCAAGGUGUCAGGAGGGUCAGUGCCAAUGGAGAGAGGCCACCUUAAAAGGGCUUGUGCGGGAGGAGCAGGCCAGAUGUCCUGUGCAGAGCCGCUGCUGGGUUCCCAGGAGAGGGGACACCUGGUCCUGGGGGCAGAAGCUCUUGUCUGCUCCCGUCUAGGCUCAGCCCCACCUGCUCUGCAGGAGCCCCCUUCCUGCGGCGCUCCUGGGAGCUUUGGUUUCUUUGCCAUUCCCGGGGCAUCGCGCCUGGACUAAUAGGUCCCCUGGAUCUCACCCUGGCAGCGAUGCCUCCCCACCUCUGACGGCUUGCCCCUGCCUUCUCAAGGCCCUGCACUUACUCCAUGACUCUAGGGGCCCGUGCCUACCAGCCAGCCCUGUCCUUCACCUGCAUUCUGCUGGACCUGCUGGUGCUGUCUGCUGGCCGGGCGGCUCUGGGAUGCCCCGGGUGCUCCGCGGGCACGUGGGCGCUCUAGUGGUGAGAACCAGGGUGUGCUCAGACAGCUGAAGGCUCCUCUCCUGGGUCUGUGGAGGCGGAGUGGAGCAGCUCUUUUGGGUUUUGCUUUGCUUUCUCUCCACACUGGGACUCCGGGAGGCUCCGUUCCUGGAGACACACGUCAUCGGCAGCAUCUCUGACGCGUCCCCUGAUGCCUUCUCUCACAUGGCGUCUCUCCCUGGAGGCCCUUGGCUCUGGUGCAAGCAGGAUCGGGCAGGCCCACUCUGCCCCUUUACCCAACAUGCCCAGGUGGGUCUCAACCCCAGGGGACACAGUGGCUUGACUCAGGCAACCUGUCAAGUGGCUGUGACUGACAGUUGUUGGACCCUCCGUCCAGGUGUGGGCUGCCCCUUCUGGACACUGCCCUGACUCUCAAGUCUAAGGUUGAUGGAGCGUUUAUUGGGCAUCUGCUACCUGCUGGGCUCAGCCUGGUCACUUCCAUAUUGGCUACCUCACCUGGUGUCCAUAUUAGAGCCUGUAUUUUCGUCGCUGGGAGACAGGACUCAGGGUGAUUAAUAAGCUGUCAGAUUGUAGACUGACCUGUGCUGUGACGUGCUCAGACAGUCAGGUCCGAAGAGACAGGGCCAAGCGCACCCACCAACGCUGGGUUCUCAGCCAGUGCGGCGCCCACCGCCAGACCCUCGCACCAGAGUCUGGCGUCACCCUGGGUCUUCCCACCCACCAGGCCACCUGCAGGUGCACUGGCUCCACCAGCAAGUUCCGGAACCCCAGCCCUCCUCUCCCGAUCCCUGAUGCAGUCAGGCCCACUCUGCCUCAGCUCCUGCUGGGCUCUGGUAGCAGCUGUGGUCCUUGGUGGCCCAUGAGACGUGUCUCUCCUCUGCUGGAAAUCCUCCUGACUCUCCCUUGCUCCAGGUCAAGGGUCAGCUCUGACAGCUGCAUCCCCUGGCUCACCCAUGCCUGCAGGGCCCUCCCUGCCCUGCCGUGCCCGGCCCUGCCCGGCCCUGCCCAGGCCCGGCUUCUGCUCUCUGGGGUCCCCCUCUGUCCCCAGGCCCAGCCACUCCGGGCCCAGCUCUGCCUUUGUUGCCACUUCCUGGAGUAUUUUCCCCUAGCUAGUCACAUGGCGGUGUCUCAGCCGGUGUCACUCCCAGAGCUGAUGUCCCUCCCAGAGCCAAUAUCACCCAGAGAUGUCACCUCCUGAGGCAAUGUCACCCUCAGAAGCAGUGUCAGCCACCAGAGAUGUCACCCCUUGAGAAGAUGUCACUCCCAGAGGAAAUGUCAACUCCAGAGGUGAGGGCACCCCCAGAGACAAUGGCACCCCCAGAGAUGUCACUUCUAGAGCUGGUGUCCCUCCUAGAAUCAGUAUCACCCCCAGAGGAGUUGUCAGUUCCCAGAGGUGAUGUCAUCCCCGGAGAAGAUGUCAUUCCCAGACAAGAUGUCACCUCCUGAAGUGAUGUCAGCUCCCAGAAGAGAUGUCACCCCAUGUCACCCCAGAAGCAAUGACACUUCCUGAGGGGAGGUUGGCUCCCAGAGGGGACGACCCCUGAGGAGCUCUCGGUCCCGACCUUCCCUGCCCAUGUCUCCCGGCUGCCUCCAUGUCUGCUCUUCCUCUGUCCCUUGCUGGCAGUCUCUUCCCAAAUUACAAACACACCCACGAGGCUGAGGCGGGCGGGAGUGGCCGCUCUACCUGGGCCUGGGAGAGACUGGCCACCAGGAAGCUCCUCUCCUCCUCUCGGAGGCGCCUGCUGUGGGGGCUCUCCACAUGCUCAGGACGAUGGCUGCAGCAGGACGUGGCCCUGGCUGGCCUCGGACUAGACCCUGGGCCACCCCAUCUGACAGUGAUGGGAAUUCUGCCUGGUGGGGUCCAGGCCAUGGGCCCCUCGGGGCGGGCCUGAGAGUGUGGGGCAGGGUGGCUAAAGGGAGGAGGAUGAGGCUGAGGAGCAGGGGUUGGGCUGGUGGACACUGGGUGCCGCGCAGGCCGCUGUGUGCCGUCCAGGAGCCAUGGCGGUGGGUGGCCGUCCCUGUGUUUCUUACCCUCUCCCCUCGGAAGAGAAGCUCAGUAAGACGGGGUCUCACAUUCCUUCUGGGAAGCCAGAAUCCAGGGUCUCAUGUUCCUUCUGGGAAGCCGGAGUUCAGUUGACACUCAACAACGCCUGUGGAGUGGAGGAGCGGUAGGAGCCGGUGGGAAGGUGGGACUCCACCCACGUUCUCUGCCCCCCAGCGCUCGUCCAGGUGCCUUCGCACCAAGGCAAGUUCUCCCUGAAGCUCCCGCCUCGAGGGCACCUGGGGUGCAGGCUCAGUGUGCUCCGGGCCUCUGUGGCCUGCCAGCUGGUGGCCCCGGGCCUCCCCACACUCCCUGUCCUCAGCACAGGAGGAGCCCGUGGCAGCAGCCGGUCCACGUGGGAACGGGCAGGAGAACGAGGCCAUCCGGGAGCCUGUGGAGCCAUGACUUCACGCCCCCAGGAGCUGGCGGUAGACGGGGGCGUCUCCUGUCACCUCUAGCUCUGCCUCGCCUCCUCAGCUGUUGGAUAUUCCCCCACUUGUCCCGUCAUCGUAAUCCCCACCGAGGGCCUGAGCGAUCACGCCUGCUGACCCUCCGAGGUUCCUUUUGUCCUCUUGGUGGGGACUAGAUGCAAGGCCAUUCCCUGCUCCUUCACCACAUUGCAGCAAGGCCACCUGGGCACGGUGCACGCCUGGACCUCGGAGGGCACCGUCAGCACAGAACGCCCGCCCUGCGGCUCCUCCUCUCCCCUGUGCUACUGAAUACCUAGUUGGUGAGAGACGAUGGAGCCACAUGGUAGACCAUGCCUACCGCUCACAUAGGACCCACCACUGACACCCCGAGGCGGCUCUUCAUCACCGCCCACCCCCUCUGGCUUCUGGCUUCUCCACUUUUCUCCACUUUGCACUAGGUUAUCACGGUUGUCCAGAUACAGACACAUGAGACGUGCAGGCGCAGGGCUGACCCACCCAGAGGGGUCCGGCUGGGACGUGGGCUGCUGGCAUUCUCUGGGCUUUACACCUGGGAUUUCUGCAGUAUUGGACUUUCCUCAUUCCCUCGUCUCCAGGGACCAGCCCUUCACCCCUGCAGCCCUGAGGCAGUUACUCACAGCCACCUUUUACUGUCACAUUUUUGAUUAGGAAAAUAAACGCAGCCCCACCAGCUCCCAGCCUCAACCUGCAUUUGACCCACCCACCACCAGGCAGAGUCCUGUGUCCACCGCGCAGUCAGCACUGGGAGUUGCUGCAUGCAGGCCGUCACUCCAAGAGAUUGCACAAGAGACUCCAGGACAAGCCCACUCCUAGGGUUUUCAGUAAACAGAAACGACAAAAAGAUGGCCCUUUAGAGUAAGUUCACCAGCAGUGUCAAGAGGCCAAUGAGCACAUGGAAGUUAGAAGUGCACACCUGUGGCUGUUCCCAGACGUCACCUGGACUCAAGACACGGUGUCUGGCCCCUGCCUUGUGCACACCUGGGCCCACACUGGGAGUCAUGCAUGAAGAACUGCGCAGAGCGCCCACCUGCUCCCAGCACCUGGCCUCUCUGAGGAGGCUCCUUACAGCAGCCUUGUACGUCAAGCCCACCACCUUGUUCUGUGAAGCUCCGCUCAAUGUCUCCCAACACGAUUAAUUGGAAUCAUGGCAUAAAAAAUGA